rnacentral:rRNA from 1 species
CACGUAGGGCGCGAGCGUUGUCCGGAAUUAUUGGGCGUAAAGAGCUCGUAGGCGGCCUGUUGCGUCCGCUGUGAAAGCCCGGGGCUUAACCCCGGGUCUGCAGUGGAUACGGGCAGACUAGAGUGCGGUAGGGGAGAUUGGAAUUCUGGUGUAGCGGUGGAAUGCGCAGAUAUCAGGAGGAACACCGGUGGCGAAGGCGGAUCUCUGAGCCAUAACUGACGCUGAGGAGCGAAAGCAUGGGGAGCGAACAGG